rnacentral:rRNA from 1 species
UGCUGACGAGAGGCGGACGGGUGAGGAACGCUUGGGAAUCUGCCUAUCAGCGGGGGACAACCCGGGGAAACCCGGGCUAAUACCGCAUACGCUCUACGGAGGAAAGCCGGGGACCGCAAGGCCUGGCACUGAUAGAUGAGCCCAAGUCGGAUUAGCUAGUUGGCGGGGUAACGGCCCACCAAGGCGACGAUCCGUAGCUGGUCUGAGAGGACGAUCAGCCACACCGGAACUGAGACACGGUCCGGACUCCUACGGGAGGCAGCAGUGGGGAAUAUUGGACAAUGGGGGAAACCCUGAUCCAGCGACGCCGCGUGGGUGAAGAAGGCCUGCGGGUUGUAAAGCCCUUUCGGUAGGGACGAAAGCUCUUGCUCUAAUAAGGCAGGAGGUUGACUUAACCUACAUAAGAAGCACCGGCUAACUCUGUGCCAGCAGCCGCGGUAAUACAGAGGGUGCGAGCGUUAAUCGGAAUUACUGGGCGUAAAGCGCACGUAGUCGGCUUGUCAAGUCGGGUGUGAAAUCCCCGGGCUCAACCUGGGAACUGCAUCCGAGACUGACUUGCUAGAGUAUGGGAGAGGGAAGCGGAAUUUCUGGUGUAGCAGUGAAAUGCGUAGAUAUCAGAAGGAACAUCAGUGGCGAAGGCGGCUUCCUGGACCAAUACUGACGAUCAGGUGCGAAAGCGUGGGGAGCAAACAGGAUUAGAUACCCUGGUAGUCCACGCCCUAAACGAUGACAACUGGAUGUCGGGAGGGUUU